rnacentral:misc_RNA from 1 species
AAGUCGUAACAAGGUUUCCGUAGGUGAACCUGCGGAAGGAUCAUUAUCGUGGGGAUUCGUCCCUAUCGAGAUAGCACCCUUUGUCUAUGAGUACCUCUUGUUUCCUCGGCGGGCUUGCCUGCCAACGGGGACUACAAAAACCUUUUGUAAUAGCAAUAACUUCUGAUAACAAACAAAUAUUAAAACUUUCAACAACGGAUCUCUUGGUUCUG